rnacentral:rRNA from 1 species
UACGGAGGAUGCGAGCGUUAUCCGGAUUUAUUGGGUUUAAAGGGUGCGUAGGCGGAUCGUUAAGUCAGUGGUCAAAUUGAGGGGCUCAACCCCUUCCCGCCAUUGAAACUGGCGAUCUUGAGUGGAAGAGAAGUAUGCGGAAUGCGUGGUGUAGCGGUGAAAUGCAUAGAUAUCACGCAGAACCCCGGUUGCGAAGGCAGCAUGCCGGCUUCCUACUGACGCUGAAGCACGAAGGCGUGGGGAUCGAACAGG